GAGAGCAUAGGCCUGAUAUGAAGAUGGAGAGACCGUGGUUCAGCCAAGGAUGACUUGCCGGGCGGCAUCCUGCUCCGAUCCGGUCCGAUCAUUCUCGGCUCGAUCCUCGGCAAGUUAUUCUUGGCUACAUUGCGCUCACUUGUUCUCAUUUCAGACCUCUCUAUGUUCUC
rnacentral:pre_miRNA from 1 species